rnacentral:rRNA from 1 species
UUACCGCGGCUGCUGGCACGUAGUUAGCCAGUGCUUCCUCCAUGGGUACCGUCAGGUAGUGAUCAUUUGCUAUCACUACGUUUCUUCCCCAAGGACAGAGCUUUACGACCCGAAGGCCUUCUUCACUCACGCGGCGUUGCUCCAUCAGGCUUUCGCCCAUUGUGGAAGAUUCCCCACUGCUGCCUCCCGUAGGAGUCUGGACCGUGUCUCAGUUCCAGUGUGGCUGAUCGUCCUCUCAGACCAGCUACGGAUUGUUGCCCUGGUAAGCUUUUACCCUACCAGCAAGCUAAUCCGACGCGAAGCUCUCCAAAAGCGAUGUAUAAAAACACCUUUACUGAAAGGAAGAUGCCUUCCUAUCAGACUAUAAAGGAUUAGCCCAACUUUCAUCAGGUUAUCCUUAACUUAAGGACAAGUUCUCCACGCGUUACUCACCCGUCCGCCACUCCCCGUGAUCCUUAUCUUACCCGAAGGUAAGUUAAGGGCGAGGCGUCCGACUUGCAUGUGUUAAGCACGCCGCCAGCGUUCGUCCUGAGCCAUGAUCAAACUC